AUUGAACGCUGGCGGCAUGCCUUACACAUGCAAGUCGAACGGCAGCACGGGUGCUUGCACCUGGUGGCGAGUGGCGAACGGGUGAGUAAUACAUCGGAACACGUCCUGUAGGGGGGGAUAGACCGGCGAAAGCCGGAUUAAUACCGCAUACGAUCUACGGAUGACAGCGGGUGACCUUCGGGCCUCGCGCUAUAGCAUUGGCCGAUGGCUGAUUAGCUAGUUGGUGGGGUAAAGGCCUACCAAGGCGACGAUCAGUAGCUGGUCGGAGAGGACGACCAGCCACACUGGAACUGAGACACGGCCAAGACUCCUACGGGAGGCAGCAGUGGGGAAUUUUGGACAAUGGGCGAAAGCCUGAUCCAGCAAUGCCGCGUGUGUGAAGAAGGCCUUCGGGUUGUAAAGCACUUUUGUCCGGAAAGAAAUCCUUGGCCCUAAUACGGUCGGGGGAUGACGGUACCGUAAGAAUAAGCACCGGCUAACUACGUG
rnacentral:rRNA from 1 species